UGGGGAAUAUUGCACAAUGGGGGAAACCCUGAUGCAGCGACGCCGCGUGAGCGAAGAAGGUUUUCGAAUCGUAAAGCUCUGUCCUAUGAGAAGAUAAUGACGGUAUCAUAGGAGGAAGCCCCGGCUAAAUACGUGCCAGCAGCCGCGGUAAUACGUAUGGGGCGAGCGUUGUACGGAAUUAUUGGGCGUAAAGGGUACGUAGGCGGGCUAUUAAGUCAGGUGUGAAAGCGUGAGGCUUAACCUCAUUAAGCACUUGAAACUGAUAGACUUGAGUGAAGGAGAGGAAAGUGGAAUUCCUAGUGUAGCGGUGAAAUGCGUAGAUAUUAGGAGGAAUACCGGUGGCGAAGGCGACUUUCUGGACUUUUACUGACGCUCAGGUACGAAAGCGUGGGGAGCAAACAGG
rnacentral:rRNA from 1 species